CAGUCGCCACGGUAAUACGUAGGUGGCAAGCGUUGUCCGGAAUUAUUGGGCGUAAAGGGCUCGCAGGCGGUUUCUUAAGUCUGAUGUGAAAGCCCCCGGCUCAACCGGGGAGGGUCAUUGGAAACUGUGAAACUUGAGUGCAGAAGAGGAGAGUGGAAUUCCACGUGUAGCGGUGAGAUGCGUAGAGAUGUGGAGGAACACCAGUGGCGAAGGCGACUCUCUGGUCUGUAACUGACGCUGAGGAGCGAAAGCGUGGGGAGCGAACAGGAUUAGAUACCCCUGUAGUCCCUGUCUCUUAUAC
rnacentral:rRNA from 1 species